GGAAGGGUGGCUGAGUGGUUGAAGGCACCUGACCCGAAAUCAGGCGUAGUCGCAAGGCUAUCGGGGUUCGAAUCCUCCUUCCGCCA
rnacentral:tRNA from 1 species